rnacentral:lncRNA from 1 species
AAGAAUCCAUAUAGAAGGAAGCAUCUACAUUAAUUUUUAGCUCACCCUCAAUAGGAGGAUACCAUCUGGAUACGUGGUUGUUCAUGUUAGUCCGAGCUCCUUCUUUUCGUUUGAUUCUUUACCUCCUCCAGUCUUCAAUGAGUUUAAAACUAUUGUCCAUAGCAAUAGCAGCUGUAACACCUUUCUCCUCCCAGACUUUUUUAUUUCUCCAAAACCAUAUACCCCAUAAGACCGUGCACACUCCAAUGUUCUGCACGUAAUUAAGUUCUAGAUAUGAAAUAUAAAUAAUCUUAAUAUGUUCUGCACAUGUGUAAUCUAUUUGUCCUACUCUAGUGAUCAAGAUGUAUAGCCAUGUAAUGAUAUAAGAAGGGCGAAAAAUUAAACCACUAUAACAGGACAACAAAUUAUAAACAAAAACUGACACUGCAGAACAACAAGCGUGUUUGAAGGACACAUAACGAACAAGAGUAUAUAAUCUAAUUGAAGUGCUCGCUCAGAUUUUGGCAUUUUGCUGACAAUGUAGCCAUCAUUUGUUUUUUAUAAACGUAUACCAUAAAGCAAACAAUAAAUCUACACGUACGUUAGUACAAGAUAUAUGUAUAAAAUAUGAAAAUAACUGCCGAGAAAUUAGAGCCGUUGGAUGGAAAAUAAAUAAAUGGUAGUGAUGUUGGUCUCUAAUAUUCCAAGAUUUAUGUGGUCUCCGUAGAACUUGAUUUCAUAUAUAUAUAUAUAUAUUAUAUAUAUAUAUAUAUAUAUAUAUAUAUAUAUAUAUAUAGAGAGAGAGAGAGAGAGAGAGAGAGAGAGCCCUAAUAAUGUUAUUUGGAGUCCUAUAAUUUGUUGGAGUCUUGAAGUCCCAAUCCAAACCCUCCCUUUUGAUUUAGAUCUAAUGGAUGAUAGGAUAUUUGAUUUAAUUUUUUAUUUGUAUAUUUUGUUUUAUUUUUACACAGAAAGCCGCGCUCUUUUGAGUAAGAUUUGCAUGUUGCUUAAGUAGUCAUGCGGCAGUUUCAACUGCUCGAACAUUUCCAGGAGACUGCCAAGAAGAAUUGUCAUGCACUCGUUCGUUCGUUUUUUUUUUUUCCUUUUCACCUUUUCGUUCUUUAAUACUUAGGAGGCAAUAUAUAUAUAACUCCUUGAGCAAUUUGUAUUUUUCUCCAUACAUCGACAAAUAUAGUCAUAUAUAUAACAGCUUGGCUAAAUUUAUAGAUAAGGGGAGUGUACGGUUGGAGUGGGAGAAUUUGAAAAGAUAAUCUAUAUAUUUUAUUUUUGGUAUGCCAAUUCAUUUUUUAGUUAAGAAUCCUAAACUUUACAGGGUUGGAGUUGCUCUAAGAACAUCUCUAGUUGGGUUGGUUAUAAUGGUUGGCUAAUUUGGAUUUGUUGAAUGUAUAACACAUUGUGCUUCGACGAUAUUGGCGGGCUAUAUUUUAAAUAUUAAUACUUUAGAUUUUUAUAAAUAGCAUUAAUCACUUUAAUAUGAUAAUAAAUUAUAUAAAAUCUUUUUACAGAUUUCAUUCAACGAACAUAGCCAAGGACAAUAGUUUGGUUAUAUUUAUAGAUAAUGGAAAUGUACUAAAGUCGAGUUUUUUUUUUUACAUGAUCUUUAUAUUUUUUAUUUAUAAUAAGCAUCGAUUAUUUUUAGCUAAGUGUUGUAUAUGGUUGGAGAUGUUUUAACAUUAUUAAGAAACAUGUAGAUUAUAUUUAUUUUCAAAAAAAUUAUAAAUAUACUCUUUCUAUCCCUUAUAUAGUAUAUUCUGGGAAACUGUAAUUUUAAAUAUUUAUAUAAAGAAAAGAAAAUUUUAAGAUUAAAUUAUGAAAUUAUAUUUUAUAUAUAUCUAAAAUGUGGUCAAGUAAUGUAAAAAUAUUGUAAAAAAGUUAGAGGCACAUAGGGAGGGGUUAAUAUCUUAAUCUAAAAAUAAUAAUUAAUUGAAAACAAAAACAUCUGCGAAAGGAGAAUUUGAAAGCAACCUCUCACCCGUAUUUGUUUGUGCUGGCAAUGGAGGCGAGGCUUGACAGCCUGUAUUAAUG